UGUCAACUGGAAAACCAGACAAUCUUCCAGUGCAGCAGGGAAUUAAUUUAAUCCUCUAUGUCACGGUCCUGAGUU